CACGUAGGGGCCAAGCGUUGUCCGGAUUUAUUGGGCGUAAAGAGCUCGUAGGCGGUUGGGUAAGUCGGGUGUGAAAACUCCAGGCUCAACCUCGAGAUGUCGGCGGAAACCAUCUGGCUAGAGUCCGGAAGAGGAGAAUGGAAUUCCCGGUGUAGCGGUGAAAUGCGCAGAUAUCGGGAAGAACACCCGUGGCGAAGGCGGUUCUCUGGGACGGUACUGACGCUGAGACGCGAAAGCGUGGGGAGCGAACAGG
rnacentral:rRNA from 1 species